UCGUACUCCCUCCCGUGCGCCGCCUCCCCCCGAAACCCUAGCCGCCGCAGUCGUCGCCGUCGGGCCGCCGCCAGACCGCUGCCGAAUCCUCCUCCUCCCUCCCGUGCGCCACCGGCGCACCGGCCGGUGCGCCCGUGCGGCCGCCCGGCAGGCUGGCCCCCGCAGCCCAGGUCGGCCACCUCUACCGAACCCUCCUCCUACCGUGCGCCAGCCAGCGGGGCGGCGCGGCCGGGCCGGCGCGGCCGUGCGGCCAGCCGGCACCCACGCCCGCGGGUGAGCCACCAAGCCGGACGGCGAUGCCCCACGCCGCCUAAACUCGCCGCCUGACUCCGCCGCCUCGCCGCCCGACUGGACCGCCGGCGACAGUCCUAGGCCGAGCCUGGCCGCAAGCGCCCAGGCCGCCGCCGGCGACGACUCCUUGACGCUCCCCCGGCGGCGCGCGCGACAGCACUCCCUCCACCACCGCCAGCCGCACAGCAGCAGUAGAUCCAUGGAAGCUUGGUCCGGCGACAGCCCCGCCUGCUCCGGCGGCCUCCCCGCCGCCUGGGUCGUCGGCCUCCCAUCUGCAUCCCCUACUGUUCAUUCAAUGAAAGAAGAAAAGAACUGGAGCACUGGAUUUAUUUCACUCGGCUUUUCCCAUGGGGAUGAAUGAACAAGAAGACUGCUUUAGUUCAUGAAUGCAUUCAUACUUUCACAGCUCAAUAAACUGAAGCCAGAUACUUUGAAUAUGUUCUGAUAAUUUACUGAUUAAUUUGGGAAUUUUUCUGAUUUUUUCUGAAUAUGUCCUUGGCAUCGUGAGCUCGCACGUGGACAUGGACUCAUGGAGCUCCUGGCCAGCAAACCAUGGGUGCUAAGGUAUGGCAUGGGCUGUCAUUCCAGUUCGCAGACGCAUCGUUCUUUCAGUACAGCUAUAGUCCUUUUUUGUCUCACAGAACAUAGAUGUGUUCCUGGAUAGAAUGGAAGCAGGCACACCCGUGUUUUUUUAGUCAUUUCAUGAUUAAACAGCUAAUGUAAGUUUUCAUCAUUAUCAUCUUUAUGUCACGUUACCUAUGGGCUGAACUGUACUCAACUUCUUUUCCUAUCAUUGCAGCAGAUGCUUUAUUUAUUUAAAUAAAUCAUAGCAUUGGCCAUUCAUCACAAUAUUUACACUGCUAAAUUAAUUUUUAGCAUUCAAGCAUUGAGCUCAAAUUCUGUGUGAUUGUUUGGGAGAUUUUAUAAGGCAGCUAGGGUGAAAUGAUAUAAUGUUUUCAGUAAACUCAAAACUGUACAUGCUUCACUCUUUAAUGAAAUUAGUUGGCCCGGUCUGGGCUUCCCUGGCAAAAGAAAUGAUAUAUGUUCAAUGCUGCAUUUGUGCCUUAGGCUGGAGCGACAAGAAUGUUGUUUAGUUAUUAAAAACUCAUAAUCGUAGUACUAAUUCCUUAUGCUGUAGUACUAAUUCUUGCUUCAGUUCCAAAUAUUUCUAAAACUCAUAAUUCUAGUUUGCUUCUAACUACAGAGGGAUGGGGGCACUGAAAACAGUAAAAACUCAACAUCUUUUGUAACUUGCAGGGCUUCUUCAUGUGUCUUGUUCAGGGCUUCAGGUACAUAUAAUGUCAGUGCAAAUGCAGAUGUGAUCACAGAAAAUGGAUGUUAAGGGUACACAUUCAAGACUUGUACUAUACAGUGCAACUGUGUGAGUGUACGCAUGCAAGUACAGGAUCAGCUGAACUUGGAGCAAAAGAUGAUUACUCAGUAUUUUUAUCCCAUCGAUGGAUCCAGAGGCAAAUAGCUCUAGUCUUGUAUUUAGAAAUUAUGCAUGUAUUGAGACUAAUCCUAUGUAUCCAUGUAAAUUAAAAUUACUUUAUUCUGAGGCAAUCCAAUUUGUUACGUUGAUUUGUGUUGUGAGCCAUACGAUACUUAUAAUAGAU